AUUGAACGCUGGCGGCAGGCCUAACACAUGCAAGUCGAGCGGGGUUUUCGGACCUAGCGGCGGACGGGUGAGUAAUGCGUAGGAAGCUGCCCGAUAGAGGGGGAUACCAGUUGGAAACGACUGUUAAUACCGCAUAAUGUCUACGGACCAAAGUGUGGGACCUUCGGGCCACAUGCUAUCGGAUGCGCCUACGAGGGAUU
rnacentral:rRNA from 1 species